UACAGAGGUCUCAAGCGUUGUUCGGAUUCAUUGGGCGUAAAGGGUGCGUAGGCGGGUCUUUAAGUCAGGGGUGAAAUCCGUGGAGCUCAACUCCAGAACUGCCUUUGAUACUGAGGAUCUUGAGUUCGGGAGAGGUGAGUGGAACUGCGAAGUGUAGAGGUGAAAUUCGUAGAUAUCGUCAAGAACACCAGUGGCGAAGGCGGCUCACUGGCCCGAUACUGACGCUGAGGCACGAAAGCGUGGGGAGCAACAGG
rnacentral:rRNA from 1 species